rnacentral:rRNA from 1 species
AUUGAACGCUGGCGGCAUGCCUUACACAUGCAAGUCGAACGGUAACAGGUCUUCGGAUGCUGACGAGUGGCGAACGGGUGAGUAAUACAUCGGAACGUGCCCAUGUCGUGGGGGAUAACGUAGCGAAAGCUACGCUAAUACCGCAUACGAUCUACGGAUGAAAGCGGGGGAUCGCAAGACCUCGCGCGAUUGGAGCGGCCGAUGGCAGAUUAGGUAGUUGGUGGGGUAAAGGCUCACCAAGCCAACGAUCUGUAGCUGGUCUGGGAGGACGACCAGCCACACUGGGACUGAGACACGGCCCAGACUCCGACGGGAGGCAGCAGUGGGGAAUUUUGGACAAUGGGCGCAAGCCUGAUCCAGCCAUUCCGCGUGCAGGAUGAAGGCCCUCGGGUUGUAAACUGCUUUUGUACGGAACGAAACGGCCUUUUCUAAUACAAGAGGCUAAUGACGGUACCGUAAGAAUAAGCACCGGCUAACUACGUGCCAGCCGCCGCGGUAAUAC